GUUCAUUCUUCAUUGCAAUCUUCUCCCUAACGAAAUCCCAGCCAAGCUCGGGCACCCGAUAGCGCCACGCCGCCAGUUAGUCCUCUAGCCGUUGGAUCCAACCAGCUGUCAAUUUCGACCGUUCGAUACGGACCAGUGCGGGUCUCACGCCCGUUAAGCUAACGAUCCACGGUGCUCGCGAAUCGUCGCGAACCCGCGCAGCCACCUCCGCUCGCCUCCCCGCCUGCCCCGCCUCUGGCGGUCGGCCGCCCUUCGCCUAGCGCGAUUCCCGCACCUCCCUCCGCUUGCAGCACUGCCACCGCUGUCCUCCUUCCAAGCAACGCACCGACAUCGUCGUCCCGGCCCCGAGUCCCUUCCCCUUGCGGCCUUGCCACACCCGCCGCGUCGUCCCCAUGCGGCCUCCAAUUUGAUGCGUGCGUGCCGCCACCGGGGCCAUCGUCACCAACCACCUUCCUCUCCUCUGUGCUCCCAGUCGACAGUGAGAUUAAGAGCUCCUCCAGGCCUCCCUCUGCUUGGCCCGCCCAUUGCGGAUUGCUGGAGCUCCUGGAGUACAGCAACGGAGGUGACCUCAAGAGCAGCCCGCACGGCUGCAGGUCGACGCAAUCCCAACACGACCAGCAGCUCCGUGGCCUCCAGAUGUGCAACUCUAGCCAUUGACUCCACAGUCUGCAAGGUGUUCGACAAAAUGUGCAUGUCCAAGCAUAUGAAGCUUCACAAUCCUAUACUCCGGGAGUCACUACAUCUAUUGGACCAAAGCUGAAGAAGUGAAGAUCAUCUCGGCCUCGUCUUGAAAUAUGAGUAUUUGCUUCGUCCUCAUGUCUGAAUAUGUUUGCAUUUCUACAUCUCCAGGCGUUCCACGUGAUGCAAAGUAGAACUGUCAUUCUUAUUCGCAUUAUUUGCCAAAAAGACUCGAUGCCCUCAGAGAGUGGUAGGGAUCUGAGAUCAAUGUUAGUGAAGGACCAAAAACUAGAGCUUUGUUGAUAGGUGAUAAAGAGGUGAAGACAUGUUUCUUCCCCUGAACAGAAAGGGCAUUGCCCUGACGAAUUCAUGUUACAGUGAUGGAGCUGAGAGAAAAAAACCACAGAAAGAACUUGCAUUUUUGCAAUGAGAAGUUUCGCCAUAUUGCAGUCGCAAAGGGAUCAUCAUCAACAGAGUUGAAAGCUAGUACAUUGUGCCUGAAGACUCUUAGGUCUGGUGAAUCAGCAACCAAACAAACAGAAGAGAUGAGUGAUUGCAUUUCCAGGAGCUCACGGGCAGCAGCAUGUGUUAAUCUGGGUUGCAGUGAGAGCUGCAAGUCCUGCAACUCUUGUACAACUAUGGAGCCACAUAAUGUAGGGUAGUGCAUAUGCCCAGUUCAAAUUUCAACAAAGUAAAAUCAACAUGAUAUUGACAACCUUUUUUUUUGAAGAGAUGGCAUUGACAAAAUUAAUACAAGGUACUAAUCAGCAAGCUACUAUUGCAUGCUUUGGACUACAAAACCGAAGGACAAUAAAGUAGCCUGGACCUACUUCUGUAAAAAUGACAAGUAUUCUGGAUUUUGGAUCAGAAAACUUUUCUAAUAUUUAUUUCGUGCGAUGGUUUCAUUUUAUCAAUAAAUAUUGUUGUUAUAGUCCCUUCCAUUGUACAAAUGUCAAUCAAAUAUGUGAGCAAUGAGUCCUAGUUAACUCUAAUGUGCUA